GCCAGGAGGCAACAGGUGGCGAUGGCAGGGCAGGAUGAGUCAGCGCCAAAAGGGAGGCCAGACAACAGAUUAAAGCAUCUGGGAUUCCACUGGCACUACGGAGAGGGAGGAAUUGAGACUUAUGGAAGAGAGCAACAGCUGACAUGUACUGAAAGAAACAAAUCUUCUCCGCUUGACUACAUGGGAUCUCUACUCGAGCCUGAGAAGUCUCCUCUUGAUUAGUGUAAGACUGUGACCAAACAGCAGAGGAUAGGAGUGGACAUUUACAGGCUGCAGUGUCCAUCACAGCUGCCAUCUACAACCCUCAGAAACACCAAGCAGAGGACCUACAAAAAACUCCUAGGUGAACUUUCAUGGGCAGCAUGACCAACUUCACAGUCGAUAUGGAUGGUUGAGGACCUGGACAGAACCAUUACCUGUCCAAGAAUGAUGGUGGCUUGGUUCAGGAGGCUGGCACUGAACAGAGCCAAGGGCAAGGUAGAUGACAGCACUUGGUUUAAAGUAGCUGGAGUAGAUUCCAGCACAACAGAGAAGCCAGAGGAGGUGGCAAGACUGCUCGCCCUGUCAUUCAAUGAGUGUGAAGAGGACAGGAGAUCUCACAGAAGGUGGAGAAGGCUGGUGUCUCUGAGACCCGAGGGUUAGUGCCAUAAGUAAGUGGUCGAACCCACACCCCUACUGGUGUACAACGCUCUUGCAUCAAU